UCUUACCUUCUUCAUGCUUCUCUUUUUCUAGUUCUUUGGAAAUAGUAAGUGGGUUAUCUCGGUAGUACAGAUUUGGUUUCCUUCUCGACAAUUUUGUCACGGGAUUAUAUGCUUCUUUCUUCAGCCUGUUCAAGACUUUCUUUUGCUCUUCUUGAGAUAAUUUGGACCCGUCCUGGGGGCCUUGCACGCUCGGUUGCGGCUGAAAAUUUGGCAAAGCAAUAGCUGCAGGUGGCGAUGGUAUUGUGUUUCUUGUUGUGUCAAUGUUGAAGUAUUGAGUUUGAUUCUGCAAAUGUGGUGGGGCUGGAAAACUGCAAGUCAUUUUAUUAGUUUUCACACACUGAGAUUUCAAAAUUAUGUACCUGAUUUUUUUUUUAUCCAUUCACAAAUUUGAGAUUUCGCAUCGUAUCCAUAAACUGGAAACGAAUGAUACAAACGAAGAAAAUGGUUAUAGGACUAAUC